rnacentral:lncRNA from 1 species
UUUUAUCUCUCUUGCUUGCGCUCAAUGUUUAAAUUUGACCACAGAGAAGCUAGACUUUGACUUAUUGGUUGAAAUUUCAUUAGUAGAAACCUUCGUUACCUCCACUGUUUAUAAAUCUUAUUUGAUUCAUAUCGAUACCCUCACAUUACUUUCGUAAGGUUGUUAGAUUUUAUAUUCCUAACCAACCUGUUAUACGAAUUCAAGCAACCAAAC